GCCGAGGUGGCGGAACUGGCAGACGCGCAUGGUUCAGGUCCAUGUGGACAUUUUUAAGUCCGUGCGGGUUCAAAUCCCGCCCUCGGCACCA
rnacentral:tRNA from 1 species